rnacentral:rRNA from 1 species
UACAGAGGGGGCAAGCGUUAUUCGGAAUUAUUGGGCGUAAAGCGUGCGCAGGCGGUUCUCCAAGUCCGUUGUGAAAGCCCCGGGCUCAACCUGGGAAUGGCAGUGGAAACUAGGGGACUGGAAUCUGGCAGAGGGGGGUGGAAUGCCGCGUGUAGCAGUGAAAUGCGUAGAGAUGCGGCGGAACACCGAUGGCGAAGGCAGCCCCCUGGGCUGAGAUUGACGCUCAGGCACGAAAGCGUGGGGAGCAAACAGG